rnacentral:rRNA from 1 species
GUGGGGAAUAUUGGACAAUGGGCGAAAGCCUGAUCCAGCCAUGCCGCGUGUGUGAAGAAGGUCUUCGGAUUGUAAAGCACUUUAAGUUGGGAGGAAGGGUAGUAACCUAAUACGUUGCUACUUUGACGUUACCGACAGAAUAAGCACCGGCUAACUUCGUGCCAGCAGCCGCGGUAAUACGAAGGUUGCAAGCGUUAAUCGGAAUUACUGGGCGUAAAGCGCGCGUAGGUGGUUCAGUAAGUUGGAAGUGAAAUCCCCGGGCUCAACCUGGGAACUGCUUUCAAAACUGCUGAGCUAGAGUACGGUAGAGGGUGAUGGAAUUUCCUGUGUAGCGGUGAAAUGCGUAGAUAUAGGAAGGAACACCAGUGGCGAAGGCGACCACCUGGACUGAUACUGACACUGAGGUGCGAAAGCGUGGGGAGCAAACAGGAUUAGAUACCCCUGUAGUCC